rnacentral:lncRNA from 1 species
CCAAAAGGCAGAGCUGCUGGCCAGGCGCCUCCCUUCCCUUGGGGGCGCCCGUGAGCUCAGCGGUCCUCAGCGGGGGCGGGGCCCAGACCCCCUGCCCCAGGCGAGGUGGGGAAGGGGGCCUGGAGCGGGCGGGACCCUUGCAACGGCCCAGCUCUUUCUAGAAAGGACUUCUAGUACAUUUGCGUUCUUUUCUCACUGCACCUGGAGCGUUCAAAGCCUCUGCUCUUCAGUUGCGGUUGUCGUUAGAAGCUGGGGCCCAGCAGGUGCUCAGCAGGGACCUGGAGCCCGUGGUUUCCCAGGGAGUCUCCUGAGGAGGGACGGAGCCCGUGUUCCUGCCCUCACAGUGCUCAGGCCGUGCAUUUAGACGUGUGGGGACACGCACCCGAGCCUGCACCCCGGCGUCUCCAUCAGGGUGGGGGGCCUGCGGGAAGGGUGGCGGUGAGGGCUCGCCCCUGCAUCCUGUGCAGAGGUGGGGCCGUUUCAGGAAGAGAGAGGGAUGGGGCCGUCCCCUUAGUCCCUUUACGGGAACUCCCUGGGGGCCCUGGCUCCCCGGCUGGCUUGCCCUGCCCUGUGGCCCCUCCCUUGGUCCUGCUACACCCCUGCCGUCGUUGGGUCCUGCCCCUUCUGGACUGAGUUACCUCCUUUGAGGGCAGAGGUGGGGCCGCAUGCUUAAGCGACUUGCCGAGGUCCCCGCCCCCACGUCUGAGGCCCUCCCUGGCCCUGCGCCUGCCAGUUGGGGACCCGACCUGUCCCUCCCCCGAGGUCAGUGGGUGCUGCCCCCAGGGGUUGGCACCCAACUGGAGCGUGCAGGGGGUACCUCUGAAGUGGGGUUUUCUGGAACCCAGGUCUUACAAGAUGUUUGCUUUUACCCGAAAAGCUGGGCGGAGAAGGCAGGCCCCGCGGUCUGAAAACCAGCAGAGGGAGUUCCCUGGUGGCCUAGCGGUUAAGGACUUGGCCUUGUCCCUGCUGUGGCGUGGGUUCGAUCCCUGGCCUGGGGACUUCUGCGUGCCACGGGCGUGACCAAAAAAUAAAUAAGUAAAUAAACCAGGGGAGCACAUUCUGAAGGAGGGCCUCCUGAGGGACACUUGGGGACGAGUGGGUCUGAGGGCAGACAGCACAGAGAGAAGCACCGAGAAAGAAGCCAUUUCCAGGGCUGAGCUGAUGGCCCCAGAUCUGGGACCUGCAGGGCAGGUGGGCGGCCCCACUUUAUUUCUAGAGGAACGUGCAGAUUCUUUUUAUU